GAUGAAGAACGUAGCGAAAUGCGAUAAGUAAUGUGAAUUGCAGAAUUCAGUGAAUCAUCGAAUCUUUGAACGCACAUUGCGCCCGCCAGUAUUCUGGCGGGCAUGCCUGUUCGAGCGUCAUUACAACCCUCAGGCCCCCGGGCCUGGCGUUGGGGAUCGGCGAGCCUCCGCGCCCGCCGUCCCCUAAAUCUAGUGGCGGUCUCGCUGUAGCUUCCUCUGCGUAGUAGCACACCUCGCACUGGGAAACAGCGCGGCCACGCCGUUAAACCCCCAACUUCUGAACGUUUGACCUCGGAUCAGGUAGGAAUACCCGCUGAACUUAAGCAUAUCAAUAAGCGGAGGA
rnacentral:misc_RNA from 1 species